AGUGAACGCUGGCGGUAGGCCCAACACAUGCAAGUCGAACGGCAGCACAGUAAGAGCUUGCUCUUACGGGUGGCGAGUGGCGGACGGGUGAGGAAUACAUCGGAAUCUACUUUUUCGUGGGGGAUAACGUAGGGAAACUUACGCUAAUACCGCAUACGACCUACGGGUGAAAGCAGGGGAUCUUCGGACCUUGCGCGAUUGAAUGAGCCGAUGUCGGAUUAGCUAGUUGGCGGGGUAAAGGCCCACCAAGGCGACGAUCCGUAGCUGGUCUGAGAGGAUGAUGGACACAAUGGGAACGAUGACACGGUGCCAACACCUGCGGUCGCGCGGCGUGGGGAAUAUGAGAAAAGUCGGGGAAGCCUGAUCCAGCCAUAUCGGGAAGGUGAAGAAGCACUGCAGGUCGUAAAGCCCUUUUGUUGGGAAAAAAAAGCAGCAGGUUAAUACCCCGUGCUUGUGGCGGUACCACAAGAAGAAGCAGCGGAUAACUUCGU
rnacentral:rRNA from 1 species